AUAAAACCCUUUUUGUCAAUAUGAAUAAACAUGAAUAAGAAUGAAUGUUUGGACUUAGAAUUUUUUUGCAUACAUUUCAUGAAUAAGAAUGAAUAAUGAGGAAUAAAUUUUGGACUUAGAAUAUUUUUUCCAUUGUGUGACAAACAUGAAUAAGCAUGAAUAAAGCUGCAUGAUAAUGACUCAGAACUAUUUGUGGUAAACGGCAUAAAAAUUGAUAAUGAAAUUUGUUCUAGGACUUUUGUAUACGUAUAUUUUUACUUGAUUGUUGAUGCGGAAUAACAUACAUGUACAUGUAUGUAUUCCACAGUUAAAUGAAAAAAAUAUAUGAUAAUUUUAAUAGAUAGCUCAUGUAGGUGAUAUUCAUAACAUCUUCAUACAAAACACUGCCCCUGCGAGAUGAAAUUCAUGAACUGAUGAACCACCAUGAACUGUUCAUGAAUGUUCAUGAACAAUGCAUGACUGUUCAUAAUGAGUUCAUUAAGUUUCGUUCAUGAAUUUAGUUCAUGAAUAGUUCAUAAAAUGCAGUUCAUGAAUAUUUUCUGAACUUUAAUGAACUGUAAGUCAGUUCAUAAUGUUCAUAAAUUGUUCAUAACACAUGUUCAUGAACAUUUUAUGAACUUUAAUGAAUAAAUGAAUACAUAAAGUUUAUAAAAAAAUUCAUAAAUUUGACUGUCAUACAAGUUCUCAUAAAAUUUGACAUCCAUUACAUUGUAUCAUGACAUCACAAUUAAAGUGCUUUUAGCAUGACCUCUAGUUUAUUCAUUUUACAGAUCUUGAGAUCAUUUUGAGACAAAAUUCAGUUGAAUAGCAAAAGUGUAAAUACAUGUAUGAGGGGGAGGACAGGGGUAAGGGAGACAGGGAGGAAGGGUGUAGGAGAAAGGAGAAAGGGGGUAGGAGAAAGGAGAGGAAGGCUGGGAGAAAGAGAAAAAGUUGGAGAAAAAAAAUAAAAUAUGAAAAAAUAAAAUAUCUCUCUUUUUUGUGGUAAAUUAAAGAAAAUAAAAUAAUCAUUAAAAAAAAAUCAUUUAACAACAGAUAUUAGCUCAGCACCUUUUUCUUUUUUUCAUACUAUGCCAGAAGAGUGUUACAUUUUUAGAGUCAUACAAAAUUUGGGACUCACUUUGAAGUUUUGUAACUUACUUUGAGCUGGAGAUGUUUCUCAUGUUUCGUUUUUACAAUCAUGACAAAUUUGGUAAACUUAAUUUCUUUCUUCUAAAGAUGUAAUUUCUGAUUGUCUCUCAAAGUUCAAACAUGUGCCUUUCUUAACCAUCAUACG
rnacentral:lncRNA from 1 species